CGCAGGAAAAGAAACUAACCAGGAUUCCCUUAGUAGCGGCGAGCGAAGCGGGAAGAGCCCAAUAUGAAAAGCCCUUGUGGCGUUGUAUUUUGGACGUCCUUGAGGUGUCAGUUCAGGAAAGUGUGCAUGAAAAUGCCCGCCGCGGAGGGUUAGAGCCCCGUCCAUCCUGGACACGACAUCCUCGUACACGGGCGUUUCAGUCGAGUCGGGUAGCUUGGGAAUGCUGCCCUAAGAGGUGAUAAAUCUCAUCUAAGGCUAAAUACUGGUGGGAGACCGAUAGCGAACAAGUACCGUGAGGGAAAGUUGACAAGCACUUUGAAAAGAGGGUGAAAAGAACCUGAAACCGUUACGGUGGAAGCGGAUUGCGUUAUAAAUUGUGAGCGGGUAUCGUUCAGCCAGAUUUAUUUGGUGCACUCGAUGCUGCGGCUCUGCCGUCGUGGGUUCCCGGUGGUCGAAUUUGGGCUGCUGGGGGCUGAGGGAUCCCUUUUAUAGGUUGAGGACGACGGAGGUGUGACGCGAUACGACCCGUCUUGAAACACGGACCAAGGAGUCUAGCGUAGCUGCGAGUCAAAGGGUGGUGAAACCUGAGGGCGCAGUGAAAGCGAAUUGUGAAAACGUUUUGCAGUUUGAGGCGGCAUAUGAUCGUUGAUCGUAAGUCCGACCUAGAGCAGUUAUGCUAGGACCCGAAAGAUGGUGAACUAUGCCGGAGUAGGGCGAAGCCAGAGGAAACUCUGGUGGAGGCUCGUAGCGGUGCUGACGUGCAAAUCGCUCGUCGAACUCGGGUAUAGGGGCGAAAGACUAAUCGAACCAUCUAGUAGCUGGUUUCCUCCGAAGUUUCUCUCAGGAUAGCAGGCCGAGGGGUGGUUGUUGUGUGCGGUAAAGCGAAUGAUUAGCGUAUUUGGGGGCGUUUAGCCUUCAGACGAUUCUCAAACUUUAAAUGCGCACGGAUGUUGCUGCUUUUGUGAGCGACAUCGUUAAAAACCUCGGCUUUGUGGGCCAAUUUUGGUAAGCAGAACUGGCGAUACGGGAUGAACCGUAAGUGUGGUUAAGGCGCCAAAUUAUCCGCUUAAAGAUCCCAAAAAAGGUGUUGAUUCAUCUAGACAGCAGGACGGUGGCCAUGGAAGUCGGAAUCCGCUAAGGAGUGUGUAACAACUCACCUGCCGAAUGAAUUAGCCCUGAAAAUGGAUGGCGCUGAAGCGGGUAGCCGACACCACGCCGUUUGAACGAGUUUUGUUUCAAAUGAGUAGGAGGACGUGGCGGUCGUAUCGAAGCGUACGUGCAAACGUGCGUGGAACGGCCGCUAGUGCAGAUCUUGGUGCUAGUAGCAAAUAUUCAAACGAGAACCUUGAAGGGCGAAGCGGGGAAGGGUUCCACGCGAACAUUGAUUGGGCGUGGGUGAGUCGUUCCUAAGCCACGUGGCAAUAGCUAAUUAUCGGCGAAAGGGAAGCAGGUUGACAUUCCUGCACACGGAUGUGGAGGCGGUGACGCAUUAUUGGGGCGAUGACGCUGGCGGUGGCGCUGGGCAGAGUUUUCUUUUCUGUUCGACCGUUCUGAGCGCGCUGUGUGGAAUCCGCUUGUCGGGAGAUACACGCGUGUCCGGGCAGAGCGCAGGGGUUUUUCCUGCGUCUAGCUCGCCACCGACGGCCCUUGAAAAAUCGCUUGCUGGGUAGUUCGCCAUUUUUGGCGGUGCUAUUGUAAUAAAAUCCACGCCGUGACGUACCGAUAACCGCAUCAGGUCCCCAAGGUGAACAGCCUCUGCUCGAUAUGAACAAUGCAGGUAAGGGAAGUCGGCAAAUUGGACCCGUAACUUUGGGAAAAGGGUUGGCUCUAGUGCUGCGUGGGAGUGGUUGCUAUGGUUCGGCGGUUGACCUGCCAGCUCGAUUGCGGGGUGGAGCAAUCUGCCCUGUGGUUGGGCAGGUGGGGAGGCAGCUGGCCGUAGCGACGCCCACAGCAUGCAGCAAACUAGAACUGCAACGGGCAAAGGGAAUCCGACUGUUUAAUUAAAACAAAGCAUUGCGAAGGCCGUGGCCGGUGAUGACGCAAU
rnacentral:rRNA from 1 species